rnacentral:rRNA from 1 species
GGGCACUCUAGCAGACUGCCGGUAAUAACCGGAGGAAGUGGGAUGACGUCAAAUCAUCAUGCCCCUUAUGACCUGGGCUACACGCGUGCUACAAUGGUUGGUACAACGAGUUGCGAGUCGGUGACGGCGAGCUAAUCUCUUAAAGCCAAUCUCAGUUCGGAUUGUAGGCUGCAACUCGCCUACAUGAAGUCGGAAUCGCUAGUAAUCGCGGAUCAGCACGCCCGCGGUCGAAUACGUUCCGGGCCUU